rnacentral:rRNA from 1 species
CCUACGGGAGGCAGCAGUGAGGAAUAUUGGUCAAUGGGCGGAAGGCUGAACCAGCCAAGCCGCGUGAGGGAGGAAGGCGCAGAGCGUCGCAGACCUCUUUUGUCGGGGGACAAAAGGCCGGACUCGUCCGGUACUGAGGGUACCCGGAGAAAAAGCAUCCGUUAACUCCGUGCCAGCAGCCGCGGUAAUACGGGGGAUGCGGGCGGUAUCCGGAUUCAUUGGGGUUAAAGGUGGCGAGGGCGGUCGUAUAAGCCGGCGGUGAACGCGCGGGGCGAAACCCGGCCGGGCCGUCGAAACUGGGGGCGUAGAGUGCGGCAGAGGAAUGCGGAAUGCGCGGUGUAGCGGUGAAAUGCAUAGAUAGCGCGCAGAACCCCGAUUGCGAAGGCAGCGUGCCGUACCGCCACUGACGCUGAGGCACGAAGGCGCGGGGAUCGAACAGGAUUAGAUACCCUAGUAGUC